GCCAGGUGUGGUGGCGCAUGCCUGUAAUCCCAGCUACUUGGAGGCUGGGGCAGGAGAAUCGCUUGAACCUGGGAGGCAGAGGCUGCAGUGAGUCAAGAUCAUGCCACUGAAGUCCAGCCUGGGCAACAGAGUGAGACUCUGUCUCAA
rnacentral:SRP_RNA from 1 species